UACGAAGGGGGCUAGCGUUGUUCGGAAUUACUGGGCGUAAAGGGCGCGUAGGCGGCUCUGAUCGUCGGAUGUGAAAGGCCUGGGCUCAACCUGGGAAUGGCAUCCGAUACGGCGGGGCUGGAGUGUGGGAGAGGUUGGUGGAAUUCCCAGUGUAGAGGUGAAAUUCGUAGAUAUUGGGAAGAACACCGGGUGGCGAAGGCGGCCAACUGGAC
rnacentral:rRNA from 1 species